rnacentral:rRNA from 1 species
AGAGUUUGAUCCUGGCUCAGGAUGAACGCUGGCGGCGUGCCUAAUACAUGCAAGUCGAACGAAGAGAGAAGCUUGCUUCUCUUUUAGUGGCGAACGGGUGAGAAAUACAUAAGCAUACAUAAGCAACCUGCCCAUAUGACUGGGAUAACUAUUGGAAACGACUGCUAAUACCGGAUAGGUGACCGGGGGACAUCCCCUGAUCAUUAAAGCUGGGACACAGCACGAAUGGAUGGGCUUAUGGCGCAUUAGCUAGUUGGUGAGGUAACGGCUCACCAAGGCGACGAUCAGUAGCCGACCUGAGAGGGUGAACGGCCACACUGGAACUGAGACACGGUCCAGACUCCUACGGGAGGCAGCAGUGGGGAAUAUUGCACAAUGGGCGCAAGCCUGAUGCAGCAACGCCGCGUGAGUGAAGAAGGCCUUCGGGUUGUAAAGCUCUGUUGUAAGGGAAGAAUGGCCAAGAGAGGGAAUGCUCUUGGAGUGACGGUACCUUACCAGAAAGCCACGGCUAACUACGUGCCAGCAGCCGCGGUAAUACGUAGGUGGCAAGCGUUGUCCGGAAUUAUUGGGCGUAAAGCGCGCGCAGGCGGCCUCUUAAGUCUGAUGUGAAAGCCCCCGGCUCAACCGGGGAGGGCCAUUGGAAACUGGGAGGCUUGAGUAUAGGAGAGAAGAGUGGAAUUCCACGUGUAGCGGUGAAAUGCGUAGAGAUGUGGAGGAACACCAGUGGCGAAGGCGACUCUUUGGCCUAUAACUGACGCUGAGGCGCGAAAGCGUGGGGAGCAAACAGGAUUAGAUACCCUGGUAGUCCACGCCGUAAACGAUGAGUGCUAGGUGUCGGGGGUAUCGACCCCCUCGGUGCCACAGCUAACGCAAUAAGCACUCCGCCUGGGGAGUACGGUCGCAAGACUGAAACUCAAAGGAAUUGACGGGGGCCCGCACAAGCGGUGGAGUAUGUGGUUUAAUUCGACGCAACGCGAAGAACCUUACCAAGGCUUGACAUCCCGUGACAGCUAUGGAAACAUAGUCUUCUUAGUCGGGGAGCCGUAAGACAGGUGGUGCAUGGUUGUCGUCAGCUCGUGUCGUGAGAUGUUGGGUUAAGUCCCGCAACGAGCGCAACCCUUGCCUUUAGUUACCAGCAUUCAGUUGGGGACUCUAGAGGGACUGCCGGUGACAAACCGGAGGAAGGUGGGGAUGACGUCAAAUCAUCAUGCCCCUUAUGAUCUGGGCUACACACGUGCUACAAUGGCCGGUACAACGAGAAGCGAAACCGCGAGGUGAAGCAAAUCUUUUAAAGCCGGUCCCAGUUCGGAUUGCAGGCUGAAACUCGCCUGCAUGAAGUUGGAGUUGCUAGUAAUCGCGGAUCAGCAUGCCGUGGUGAAUGCGUUCCCGGGUCUUGUACACACCGCCCGUCACACCACGGGAGUUGGUUGCACCCGAAGUCGGUGAGGUAACCCUGGUGGAGCCAGCCGCCGAAGGUGGUACAGAUGAUUGGGGUGAAGUCGUAACAAGGUAACC